GUCUGCAGCCAUGCUACCCUGAACAAGCCUGAUCUCGCCUGAUCUUGGAAGCUAAGCAGGGUCGGGCCUGGUUAGUAUUUGGAUGGGAGACCAGGUGCUGUAGGUA
rnacentral:rRNA from 1 species